rnacentral:rRNA from 1 species
CCGCCGAACGGCGCUCCUCCGGUUUUUAAACGUCCGUUGAGGCGUGAAAGUGUGGGGAGAGAACAGGAUUAGAUACCCUGGUAGUCCACGCAGUAAUAGAUGAGUGCUAAGCGUAAGACGGUUUCCCGCCCUUUAGUGGUUGCAGCAAACGCAUUAAGCACUCCCGCUUGGGGAGUACGGCCGGCAAGGCUGAAACUCAAAGGAAUUGACGGGGGCCCGCACAAGCGGCGGAGCAUGUGGUUUAAUUCGAAGCAACGCGAAGAACCUUACCAGGUCUUGACAUCCUCUGACGACCCUAGAGAUAGGGCGUUCCCCUUCGGGGGACAGAGUGACAGGUGGUGCAUGGUUGUCGUCAGCUCGUGUCGUGAGAUGUUGGGUUAAGUCCCGCAACGAGCGCAACCCUUGAUUUAGUUGCCAGCAUUCAGUUGGGCACUCUAAGGUGACUGCCGGUGACAAACCGGAGGAAGGUGGGGAUGACGUCAAAUCAUCAUGCCCCUUAUGACCUGGGCUACACACGUGCUACAAUGGAUGGAACAAAGGGCCGCAAAACCGCGAGGUCGAGCCAAUCCCAUAAAUCCAUUCUCAGUUCGGAUUGCAGGCUGCAACUCGCCUGCAUGAAGCCGGAAUCGCUAGUAAUCGCGGAUCAGCAUGUCGCGCUGAAUACGUUACGUGGCAACAAGGACACCAG